rnacentral:lncRNA from 1 species
AGAUCAUCUCCUGUAUUUAAUCCCCAACCGACAACACCCAGGAAUGUUAUAGCCAAAUUCAAAAACUAUCAGACCAAAGAAAAGAUAUUACAAGCUGCCAAGAAGCAGCCAUUCAGAUACCAUGGAAACACAGUGAGGAUAACACAGGAUCUGGCUACAUCCACACUGAAGGACCAAAAGGUAUGGAAUAUGAUAUUCUGGAAAGCAAGGGAACUAGGUCUACAACCAAGAAUCAAAUACCCAUUGUAAUGGUGAAAAUUUCACCUUUUUUUAAGAUUGAUGUAAUAUUGAACAAUGGCCGCCAAGGAAUUUACUUAUGAAAUUCCUAAAAUGAAACACUCAAGUCAGAAUGAAGUUUAUGGAGGUUUAAUCACACUGGGAGUAGGGAAAGGAGAGGGAGAGAAGAGAAGAGAAAAGGGAAAGGGGCUACUCAACCUCUGACCAAGGUAGAGGGAGUUUUAGGCCCAACGGGCCAAGGUGGAAAGAAUCACUCCUUAACUCACGUGAGUGAUCUGAAGGAAAGCUGUCUGCGGGUGUCCUCCCUGUCCAAGCUCCUAACACCAACUCGCGUCUAGCUCUCUCCACAGGAAGUGAGCGAAUUCCAGAGGCUGUUCCCUACCUCACUUCCUGUGUCUCACAAGUGCCAAUGGUUGGCUCUAGCUUGGCUUAGGACAGUCCAGGUGGGCAGUUAGUUAUUUCUGAUUUGUCAUUGACUAGCACAUGCCCGUGUAGUGUGGGUGUGCACAAUUUUUGGGUGCUAUACCAAGAUGGAGAUUUUUAAAAUUCACACCAUCAAAACUGACUAUAUUCUUACAGGGGAAAGAAUGGUCAUUCAACACAAUAGAAGAAUUCCAAGCAUUCAUAAAGAAAAGACCAGACCUGAACAGAAAAUUUGAUGUCCAAGCACAGAGCUCAAGAGAAUCGUCAAAAGCCUCCUUUAAUCCUAGGCUGCCACCCCACGCAGAGCAGUCUAGCGAGCAGAGCUGAGCUGGUGACCUCCCAAGAAACCCCCAAGCCACUUCUGCCAAAGGCCAGAGACACCCCAGAGGAAUCUUCCUCCGACCCAUCUCUUGGGCCACAGCCGGGGGGAGGGAGGGGUGCGGGAGAGGGAGAGAGUCUCAAGUGAGAGAGACUCAGACAGACAGACAGACAGACAGAGAGCACUCAGCCCUUCCUCACCCAACACCAUCUCCUAAAACCGAGAAGAUUUGGCGUCUUCAUCUAGUCGGAGAACCACAACCACAAUCUGGGCUCCACUCUAAGGCUGGCCCUUUCUCACUCACUCCCACCUUGGAAAGAUGGAGCCCUAGGAGAGCACCAUCCAGUGCAGCCGAUGGAACAACAGCCAGGAUGAGGUCAGCAUGAAUGUGUCGACUCCAGAGAGCUCCAGCUGUGAGCAGAUCUACAAUAAACUAUGCACUGGGAAGCUGGGCA